AUGCAACCAAGAGCUGAAAACUAUGGUAUUGAAGCAUUCACGAGAAAUGGAUUCAAAUCUUGGAAGGAUGGACCUGAAGUUUUUAAUCAGCAUGUUGGCAAGCAUGAUAGUGCUCAUAAUAAAUCUAGGCAACAUUAUGAGGAUUUCAAAAAUCAAAGACAAAAUCUGCCACAUGUCUUUGAUAGGGGUUCUCAGAAGCAAGAAGAAGAACACAAAGCCCGCCUCUUGAUUAUAUUGGGUAUUGUCAAUUUUUUGAUACUACAAGCUCUUGCUUUUCGUGGUCAUGAUGAGACUACUAGCUCAAUGAAUAAGGGUAACUUUAAAGAGUUGUUGGACUUGUAUCUCGGCAAACGAGGGGAGGUUAUCGCACACGUAAAGGUGUUUUGCCUCGUCCUACAUGUAAGUUUUCACAUUUUGCAUCUAUUGUUAAUUAGUUUUUCCUGCUAUAUUAUGCACUGA
rnacentral:rRNA from 1 species